rnacentral:rRNA from 1 species
UACGGAGGGAGCUAGCGUUGUUCGGAAUUACUGGGCGUAAAGCGCACGUAGGCGGCUUUGUAAGUUAGAGGUGAAAGCCCGGGGCUCAACUCCGGAACUGCCUUUAAGACUGCAUCGCUUGAAUCCAGGAGAGGUGAGUGGAAAUCCGAGUGUAGAGGUGAAAUUCGUAGAUAUUCGGAAGAACACCAGUGGCGAAGGCGGCUCACUGGACUGGUAUUGACGCUGAGGUGCGAAAGCGUGGGGAGCAAACAGG